GAUGAACGCUAGCGGCAGGCCUAAUACAUGCAAGCCGGACGGCAAGUUGAGUAGCAAUACUUGACCUAGAGUGGCGUAAGGGUGCGUAACACGUAUGCAAUCUGCCCACGGCCGGGAGAUAGCCCUCCGAAAGGAGGAUUAAUAUCCCAUAGGAAGAUGAGAUGGCAUCAUUUUAUUUUAAACUACGGGGCUGUGGAUGAGCAUGCGGUUGAUUAGCUAGUUGGCGGGGUAAGCCACCAAGGCGAUGAUCAAUAGGGGACCUGAGAGGGUGAUCCCCACACUGGCACUGAGAUACGGGCCAGACUCCUACGGGAGGCAGCAGUAGGGAACUAUUGGACAAUGGGUGUAAGCCUGAUCAGCCAUGCCGCGUGCAGGAA
rnacentral:rRNA from 1 species